UGGACAGAAAAGGGAAAGGAGGCACAGAAAACGGAAGCAAAGCACAGAAACCGCCAGAGGGGCUGCAGCUCCAUGCUUGCCUUAUCUGAACACGGUUGGAAUGGCCGGCACCCUUGAUGAGCGGAAACCUGAAAAAAGCAAGGCCCAGUGAAGACAACAUGGCCAGGAAAAACACGUUAAACAAAGGGUGUUGCUCUGUCACCCAGGCUGGAGUGCAGUGGUGCCAUCAUAGCUCACUGCAAUUGUUACAGGAGAGGGGUCCUGAUCCAGACCCCAAGAGAGGGUUCUUGGAUUUGGAUCCUGUGCAAGAAAGAAUUCAGGUGACUUAGAAUGCCUGACCAUGUGGGAAUGCAGCCCAGUAGGACUCAGUCUCAUUUUACCCAGCCCCUGUUCAAGAUGGAGUCGCUCUGGUUCACACGCCUCAGACACAGCCUCUGCCUCCCGCCUCAGCCUCCUAAGCAGCUGGGACUACAGUGCAUACCUGAUUUUCUCGACCUCUUUUAUGAAAUAUCCCCGCCAGACUCCCUCGACCGUGCCACCCCCAGGUUCCCGUGCAUACACAACAUUGCGGGAUAGGUAUUGUGGAAUGAGGAUCCGUGUUACGACCUACAGAAGAUGUGGCUGUGAAGUCAGGAGUCACGGUCUCAGAGUUGACUGCACUGCCUCGUAGCUGUGUGACCUUCAGGAUUUUGUUCAACCCCCUCUGAGCUUCAGUUUGCUCUCUGGGAAGACUCCAAGGAUAAGAGCAUCUACCUCCUCAGCCUGCUGUGAGAGUUAACAGGGCCAGGGCCAAAGACGCUUUGUCUGACUGCUGGUCUGCGGGGAGCUCUAAAUAUGAAUCUGCUACAUCACCUUCACUUUUGAAUUCGGCUCUGAUGUUCCAAAUGUUCUUGGCCGUUCCUUCGUGUUUCUCCUGUACGAAUUUCAGCUUCUUUUUGCCAAGUAUCUCCCCACCCCCGCCCACCCCCACCCCCAAAUAAACUCACUAGAAUGUUGGCUGAAAAUCUGAUAAGGCUACACAUUGAUUUGGAAAGAAAUGAUUUUUUGUGAGAGUCAAACUCCCUACCCAUUUUUUUUCUUUUGUUUUUUCAAAAGUUUUUUUCUUACAUUUGUCAUUCAAGUUUGUCAUUUUCUUGCUACAGAUUCCAAACACUUUUCAAGAGGACCGUCGCUAAGUACUUUAUACUCUUGUUUGGGUUUUUUUAGAGUAAAAAAUGUUCAAAUUCUACUUUAUCUUCUAGCUGGUGGUUGUUGGAAGAUAAUUUUAAAAACUGAUUUAAAAUAUGUAUUUUGCAUCUG
ensembl:lncRNA LINC01150 long intergenic non-protein coding RNA 1150